AUUCAGCUGACGAGUUCUAAAUAGGAGGAAACGCGCGUCAUGGAU
rnacentral:hammerhead_ribozyme from 1 species